rnacentral:rRNA from 1 species
UAGGGAAUCUUCCGCAAUGGACGCAAGUCUGACGGAGCAACGCCGCGUGAGUGAAGAAGGAUUUCGGUUCGUAAAACUCUGUUGUUAGAGAAGAACAGCGCAUAGAGUAACUGUUAUGCGUGUGACGGUAUCUAACCAGAAAGCCACGGCUAACUACGUGCCAGCAGCCGCGGUAAUACGUAGGUGGCAAGCGUUAUCCGGAAUUAUUGGGCGUAAAGCGCGCGUAGGCGGUUUUUUAAGUCUGAUGUGAAAGCCCACGGCUCAACCGUGGAGGGUCAUUGGAAACUGGAAAACUUGAGUGCAGAAGAGGAAAGUGGAAUUCCAUGUGUAGCGGUGAAAUGCGCAGAGAUAUGGAGGAACACCAGUGGCGAAGGCGACUUUCUGGUCUGUAACUGACGCUGAGGCUCGAAAGCGUGGGUAGCAAACAGG